rnacentral:tRNA from 1 species
CAAGUUAAAUCAUAGUGAUGAUAUUAUUUACAUUAAUAUUUAAGGUUCGUGCGAUUCGGCCUAACUUGA